rnacentral:rRNA from 1 species
AGUGAACGCUGGCGGUAGGCCUAACACAUGCAAGUCGAACGGCAGCACAGGAGAGCUUGCUCUCUGGGUGGCGAGUGGCGGACGGGCGAGGAAUACAUCGGAAUCUACUCUGUCGUGGGGGAUAACGUAGGGAAACUUACGCUAAUACCGCAUACGACCUACGGGUGAUAGCAGGGGACCUUCGGGCCUUGCGCGAUUGAAUGAGCCGAUGUCGGAUUAGCUAGUUGGCGGGGUAAAGGCCCACCAAGGCGACGAUCCGUAGCUGGUCUGAGAGGAUGAUCAGCCACACUGGAACUGAGACACGGUCCAGACUCCUACGGGAGGCAGCAGUGGGGAAUAUUGGACAAUGGGCGCAAGCCUGAUCCAGCCAUACCGCGUGGGUGAAGAAGGCCUUCGGGUUGUAAAGCCCUUUUGUUGGGAAAGAAAUCCAGCUGGCUAAUACCCGGUUGGGAUGACGGUACCCAAAGAAUAAGCACCGGCUAACUUCGUGCCAGCCGCCGCAGUAA